rnacentral:rRNA from 1 species
UACAGAGGUCCCAAGCGUUGUUCGGAUUCACUGGGCGUAAAGGGUGCGUAGGCGGUCAGGUAAGUCUGAUGUGAAAUCUCUGGGCUUAACCCAGAAAUGGCAUUGGAUACUAUUUGGCUUGAGAGUUGGAGGGGGACUGGAAUUCUUGGUGUAGCAGUGAAAUGCGUAGAUAUCAAGAGGAACACCAGUGGCGAAGGCGAGUCCCUGGACAACACCUGACACUGAGGCACGAAAGCUAGGGGAGCAAACAGG